GACUCCAUAGCAGGGCUGUCCAACCUGCGCCCUCCCCCUCCCCCCCGAUGUUGCUGAACUACAACUCCCAUGAUUCCCUGGCUAUAUUUUUAAUUGAAAGACUCAUGGGAGUUGUAGUUCAGCAACAUCUGUGGGGGCGCAGGUUGGACAGCCCUGCUCUAUAGUGUC